rnacentral:rRNA from 1 species
CACGUAGGGCGCAAGCGUUGUCCGGAAUUAUUGGGCGUAAAGAGCUCGUAGGCGGUCUGUCGCGUCUACUGUGAAAACUCAGGGCUUAACCCUGAGCUUGCAGUGGGUACGGGCAGACUAGAGUGCGGUAGGGGAGACUGGAAUUCCUGGUGUAGCGGUGAAAUGCGCAGAUAUCAGGAGGAACACCGGUGGCGAAGGCGGGGUCUCUGGGCCGUAACUGACGCUGGAGGAGCGAAAGCAUGGGGAGCGAAA